UUAAUAAACAAAGUUAAAAAAACUAAAAAUGGAAUGAUGCAAAGAACUGUUAGUGUGGCCCCUGCCGCAAGGAUGACAUGUAAAAUCGUGAAGUGUUCCAUUGUCAA
rnacentral:snRNA from 1 species